rnacentral:rRNA from 1 species
CAGUCGCCGCGGGAAUACGUAGGGUGCAAGCGUUAAUCGGAAUUACUGGGCGUAAAGCGUGCGCAGUCGGUUAUAUAAGACAGAUGUGAAAUCCCCGGGCUCAACCUGGGAACUGCAUUUGUGACUGUAUAGCUAGAGUACGGCAGAGGGGGAUGGAAUUCCGCGUGUAGCAGUGAAAUGCGUAGAUAUGCGGAGGAACACCGAUGGCGAAGGCAAUCCCCUGGGCCUGUACUGACGCUCAUGCACGAAAGCGUGGGGAGCAAACAGGAUUAGAUACCCCCGUAGUCCCUGUCUCUUAUAC